rnacentral:rRNA from 1 species
CGGUUGAUCCUGCCGGACCUGACUGCUAUCGGAUUGGUACUAAGCCAUGUGAGUCGUUGCAGCAAUGCAAGGCAGACGGCUCAGUAACACGUAGUCAACCUAACCUAUGGACGGGGAUAACCUCGGGAAACUGAGAAUAAUACCCGAUAGAUCAUGAUACCUGGAACGGUUUAUGGUCCAAAUGAUUUAUCGCCAUAGGAUGGGACUGCGGUCUAUCAGCUUGUUGGUGAGGUAAUGGCCCACCAAGGCUAUAACAGAUACGGGCUCUGAGAGGAGGGGCCCGGAGAUGGGUACUGAGACACGGACCCAGGUCCUAUGGGGCGCAGCAGGCGAGAAACCUUUGCAAUGUGCGAAAGCGCGACAAGGUUAAUCCGAGUGAUUCCUGCUAAAGGAAUCUUUUGUUAGUCAUAAAACCACCGAUGAAUAAGGGGUGGGCAAGUUCUGGUGUCAGCCGCCGCGGUAAUACCAGCACCUCGAGUGGUCAGGAGGUUUAUUGGGCCUAAAGCAUCCGUAGCCGGCUGUUCAAGUUUCCGGUUAAAUCCACACGCUUAACGUAUGGGCUGCCGGAAAUACUGUUCAGCUAGGGAGUGGGAGAGGUAGACGGUACUCGAUAGGUAGGGGUAAAAUCCUUUGAUCUAUUGAUGACCGCCUGUGGCGAAGGCGGUCUGCGACAACACGUUCCACGGUGAAGCAUGAACGACGGUGGAGCGAAGAGUACUGGAUACACUAUUACUCACUACAGUCCCCGGUGCAUACCCGGCAGACGACGUGUGC